rnacentral:lncRNA from 1 species
GGAGGAAUGGAACAAGGGAAGUAAGGGGCAGCAAAAACCCAGGUGAUGGUGACACUGGAAGUCCAAGCAUGCACCAGCUUCAUGGCUCUGAGAAAACACGUCCAAACCAGUGCCUGGAAAGAUAAAGAACUCCAUUUCAACCUCAGAAUUGGAGGUCUCUGGAACAGGAGGUGGGAGGUGCUUUAUCUCUGCUACGAAGGAAGCAAUUUCAUCCUGUACACAAGCUUCUGUGACGAUUGCUUAAGCUGCAGAAGAGACUUAGAACUGGAACUCCGCUCCAGAUGCUGGACGGGCUGGUUGCAAGAAUUACAUUCUCCCUUCCAUGGGAAGGCCUGUGUCUUACAUGGGUCAACUCCAUAUCGUCUGGAGAACACUCAGAGCGUCUUCUCCAAAGUCAAGGCUGUCUCACAUUUGGGAAGAUCCUAAUGACCCCUCUUCAGAGGACCCAGUCCUCUGGUUCCCCCAUCAACCUCCUGGGUUCAUUUCACUAACAUGUCAAUCUUCAUUAAAUAUCUGGAAGGAAG